UAAGUUAUUCAUCGUGUUAUUGUACGUGUACGAUCGACGAAGAUCGCGCGUGUUUAUAUACGCAUGUUUAUAUAAGUCGUAUACAUAUCGUAUACAUAUCGUAUACUAAGUCGAAGUUCGUACGGCGACGACCUCUAAUGUAAAGGCAUUAUUCCGUGUUGGACUUUCGACGCAGAUACAUCGGAGCGCGACGCAAUACGAUACGAAAUUAAUAAGAAGAAGAAGAAGGAAAAGGAGGAGGAGAAGGAGAAGAAGAAAAGUACUCACCGUCUGGCACCGCGUGGCUGGUCAUCAAGAAAUUAACGCAGGCUGCCCCUGUACCGUGUCCAAUCAACGUCACGUUCCUAGGAUCGCCGCCGAAGUUGCCGAUGUUCUCCUGCACCCAAUGGAGCGCCGCGAUUUGAUCCAUCAGACCGUAAUUCGCUGGCGAGCAGUUUGCGUAUCGGGGAGGGGGAGGAUGGGAGAGAGGAGGCCCGGUUGGAAUAAAGGGAGAAGUUUCGAAAUGGGAUGGAGAGACGGAGUGGAACAGGAGGGGAGGGGAGGGUAACGAUAAUUCAACUGCGUACAGUAAGUCAAACUUCCGAAUGAUAACUUGGAACAUCUGUUGCGAUACUUAGCGAAGCAAUAAAGAGUUUAAUGAGUUUCGA